rnacentral:rRNA from 1 species
GACGAACGCUGGCGGCGUGCCUAAUACAUGCAAGUAGAACGCUGAAGGAGGAGCUUGCUUCUCUGGAUGAGUUGCGAACGGGUGAGUAACGCGUAGGUAACCUGCCUGGUAGCGGGGGAUAACUAUUGGAAACGAUAGCUAAUACCGCAUAAGAGUAGAUGUCGCAUGACAUUUGCUUAAAAGGUGCAUUUGCAUCACUACCAGAUGGACCUGCGUUGUAUUAGCUAGUUGGUGAGGUAACGGCUCACCAAGGCAACGAUACAUAGCCGACCUGAGAGGGUGAUCGGCCACACUGGGACUGAGACACGGCCCAGACUCCUACGGGAGGCAGCAGUAGGGAAUCUUCGGCAAUGGACGGAAGUCUGACCGAGCAACGCCGCGUGAGUGAAGAAGGUUUUCGGAUCGUAAAGCUCUGUUGUAAGAGAAGAACGAGUGUGAGAGUGGAAAGUUCACACUGUGACGGUAUCUUACCAGAAAGGGACGGCUAACUACGUG